UACAGAGGGUGCGAGCGUUAAUCGGAAUUACUGGGCGUAAAGCGUGCGUAGACGGUUAUUUAAGUCGGGUGUGAAAGCCCCGGGCUCAACCUGGGAAUUGCAUUCGAGACUGAAUAGCUAGGGUACGGUAGAGGGAAGCGGAAUUUCCGGUGUAGCGGUGAAAUGCGUAGAUAUCGGAAGGAACAUCAGUGGCGAAAGCGGCUUCCUGGACCAACACUGACGCUGAGGAGCGAAAGCCAGGGGAGCAAACGGG
rnacentral:rRNA from 1 species